rnacentral:rRNA from 1 species
AGGGUUUGAUUCUGGCUCAGGACGAACGCUGGCGGCGUGCCUAACACAUGCAAGUCGAACGAGAAUCUUUGAACAGAUCUUUUCGGAGUGACGUUCAAAGAGGAAAGUGGCGGACGGGCGAGUAACGCGUGAGUAACCUGCCCAUAAGAGGGGGAUAAUCCAUGGAAACGUGGACUAAUACCGCAUAUUGUAGUUAAGUUGCAUGACUUGAUUAUGAAAGAUUUAUCGCUUAUGGAUGGACUCGCGUCAGAUUAGAUAGUUGGUGAGGUAACGGCUCACCAAGUCAACGAUCUGUAGCCGAACUGAGAGGUUGAUCGGCCGCAUUGGGACUGAGACACGGCCCAG